GGCGAACGGGUGAGGAACACGUGAGAAAUCUGCCUUCAACACUGGGAUAACUCCGGGAAACCGGGGCUAAUACCGGAUAUGAAAUCUGCGGGCAUCCGCGGAUUUGGAAAGUUUUUCGGUUGAAGAUGAUCUCGCGGCCUAUCAGCUUGUUGGUGAGGUAAUGGCUCACCAAGGCGACGACGGGUAGCCGGCCUGAGAGGGCGACCGGCCACACUGGGACUGAGACACGGCCCAGACUCCUACGGGAGGCAGCAGUGGGGAAUAUUGGGCAAUGGAGGAAACUCUGACCCAGCGACGCCGCGUGCGGGAUGAAGGCCUUCGGGUUGUAAACCGCUUUCAGCAGGGAAGAAGCGAAAGUGACGGUACCUGCAGAAGAAGCACCGGCUAACUAUGUGCCAGCAGCCGCGGUAAUACAUAGGGUGCAAGCGUUGUCCGGAAUUAUUGGGCGUAAAGAGCUCGUAGGUGGUUCGUCACGUCGGAUGUGAAAAUCUGGGGCUUAACCCCAGACCUGCAUUCGAUACGGGCGAGCUUGAGUAUGGUAGGGGAGUCUGGAAUUCCUGGUGUAGCGGUGGAAUGCGCAGAUAUCAGGAGGAACACCAAUGGCGAAGGCAGGACUCUGGGCCAUUACUGACACUGAGGAGCGAAAGCGUGGGGAGCGAACAGGAUUAGAUACCCUGGUAGUCCACGCCGUAAACGGUGGGCACUAGUUGUGGGGACCUUCCACGGUCUCUGCGACGCAGCUAACGCAUUAAGUGCCCCGCCUGGGGAGUACGAUCGCAAGAUUAAAACUCAAAGGAAUUGACGGGGCCCCGCACAAG
rnacentral:rRNA from 1 species